rnacentral:misc_RNA from 1 species
GAUGAAGAACGUAGCGAAAUGCGAUAAUUAAUGUGAAUUGCAGAAUUUAGUGAAUCAUCGAAUCUUUGAACGCACAUUGCGCCCCUUGGUAUUCCGGGGGGCAUGCCUGUUCGAGCGUCAUUUCAACCAUCAAGCCCUGCUUGUGUUGGGGUCCUGCGGCUGCCCGCAGGCCCUGAAAACCAGUGGCGGGCUCGCUAGUCACACCGAGCGCAGUAGCACAUCUCGCUCAGGGCGUGCGGCGGGCUCCAGCCGUUAAAGCACCCACCUUUCGCAAGGUUGACCUCGGAUCAGGUAGGAAUACCCGCUGAACUUAAGCAUAUCAAUAAGCGGAGGA